GACGAACGCUGGCGGCGUGCUUAACACAUGCAAGUCGAACGGAAAGGCCCUGCUUUUGUGGGGUGCUCGAGUGGCGAACGGGUGAGUAACACGUGAGUAACCUGCCCUUGACUUUGGGAUAACUUCAGGAAACUGGGGCUAAUACCGGAUAGGAGCUCCUGCUGCAUGGUGGGGGUUGGAAAGUUUCGGCGGUUGGGGAUGGACUCGCGGCUUAUCAGCUUGUUGGUGGGGUAGUGGCUUACCAAGGCUUUGACGGGUAGCCGGCCUGAGAGGGUGACCGGACACAUUGGGACUGAGAUACGGCCCAGACUCCUACGGGAGGCAGCAGUGGGGUAUAUUGCACAAUGGGCGGAAGCCUGAUGCAGCAGCGCCGUGUGCGGGAAGACGGCCUUCGGGGUAUAAACCGCUUUCGCCUGUGACGAAGCGUGAGUGACGGUAAUGGGUAAAGAAGCACCGGCUAACUACGUG
rnacentral:rRNA from 1 species